rnacentral:tRNA from 1 species
ACUAUUUUGACAGAAAAGUGUAAUGAUUUUAGAUGUCAUAAAUAUAUAAAUAAUUUAUUAUAUAGAUAGUA